AGAUAACACCUUCCCUGUUACUUUCCUCCCUAGGCAACCCACGUACGCGACCUCCCUCUCUCUCGUGUCCUCUUCCAUCUAAGCCGCCGCCACAAGCAUCGCCAGCGGGAGAGGAGCUAGCUCCGUUCUCCCACCAACUUCGUCGCCACAAGAGAUGAGAGGGUCGGAGGAGAAGGCGGCGGCGGCGUUGGUUUCGAUCUGUGAUCUGCCUCGAUGUGGGAGGCGGCGGAUCGAUUCGGUCGAAGUUGUUGUCGGAGGUGCUGGGUGGUAGGAGCACCACCCGACGGCCCUGGUGAACGACGAUGGGGCCACCUGAGGAGGGCGGCGAGUUUGUUGACGACUGCAACGAGAGCUCGUCGGAUCCGUCAUCGGCGUCGUUCUUCUGCUUGAGACAGCCGUCGUCUACGUGACCUCCUCGCCGCCACGGGUGGACGCUGAUUUGUCAUACACGAACAAGGAACACACGGCUGGAGAACAUGACAUGGAGGAUCUGGAUCCUGGCAAAUAAGAAGGAGGAUGAGAACUGAAGCAUGGAUCUGUACUAUGCUAUCUGGAUUUGUGAUCUUAUUCAUGGAAACAGUGAAAAUAGCGAGUACCGGUCAUUAUUUGGUCCCAGUAUGCACAGCUUAAUUUAAUUUUCAUUUUGCAAAUUCAAAGGUGGCUGAGGACUGUGAUUUUGUGGACCUACCAGUUCCUAGGAAAUUAAGAUCAUGUACUGAUUGCUGUCUCAUAAAACUAGGAACAUGGACAACUUUGUCCCUUUCUCUUUCCAUCUUUACCUAUUGAUUUGCUGAUUGCAUAGGAGCAUGUGUGGAAAAUGGUUUUCAAAUUUGAUGGCUAACCAACAAAUAUAUUUGUGUGUUUUACAAACUAAUAUUGUAAUAUUUUUUAACAACAAAUCUAACUUAACCUGUCUCUGAAUGUAUUAUUGAUGUUAGUGUUUCUAACCUCGGGACAUUCACGCAUUGGAUGUUUUCUUAAGCCAUUGGCAGAGCACCAAAUUCACAUCUCAAUAUUGAGUCUCCUACUUUCAGGUUUUAGCCAUACACAAUCAUGCCGGUCGGACCGUUCCCUCGUCACUGCGGCAUGCCAAGAAGAGGCAACAUCUUUCAGCUAUAAGUGCUCAGAUUUUUCUGACGGGUCAUGAAACAAGAACCGAUGAGACGAUGAGUUGCAAACCUUCCUGAAAUUGUGUACAAGACCUAAAGACCCAACGGUCUGGUCUUUCCCAUUCUUGGCCAUCGGGAGGAAGCAGAGCAGCUGCCAACGGCCGGGGAGGUGGGGCGGUGGAUGAGAGGAAGCGGCUGCGAGCACGCACCGGUUGUGCACCUCGAGGGAGGAUUGGGUGGGAGGAGAGGUGGUGGCGGUAGUUUCAAUAUGUGAUCUGCCACCGGCGCCGCCACAAGGAUGGAUGACAAGAUCAGAGGUGAGCCCCCUCCCGUGCGCCGGCGUCGGUGAGGGUCGGGAGCACCACCAAGCCGUUCCGCGGUCCGCCUCCGGCUUCUCUGAUCAAUGAGCAACAUCUCUAUAACUGAAUACAAUAAUGAAGCUGCAUUUGUUUUCAUGGAUGGCUCUUCUCUCAUCAGGCAGCACCAAAUUGGGUUGUCUGACAUGCUUUGCAAUGUUAGUGCUGGUCUGAAGCUUUUCUAGAAGCAUUUGUGUGUUCUCAUGCUCAGGAGUUACAAGGAGCAAUGGUGCUAUGGUCUUGAACUUCCACUCAUCUUCUACCGAAGAAUGAUCCUUAGCUUAGUUACUUAGCUUGAUGUCUUUUUUCGAGGAUAGGUUUGGAGUUGCAUCCGCUUUUGUCUAGGUUGGUACUUCGACCAGAAUUCGCAUGACACUAUAUGCCAAGAUUAGUUGUUGUACUUCCUCUAAUGCAUGACUGAAUGGAAACGACUGAUUUAUUUUUCUUGUAAUAUGUGAACCAUGUACUGCAUCAACACUCAAUGUAGAUCGUGCUUUCAAUUGGCUGAGCACAAGAACAAUUGACAUAUUGUGUAUCACCAA